CAGGGAAUCUUGCACAAUGGGCGAAAGCCUGAUGCAGCGACGCCGCGUGGGGGAUGAAGGCCUUAGGGUCGUAAACCCCUUUCAGCAGGGACGAAGAUGACGGUACCUGCAGAAGAAGCCCCGGCCAACUACGUGCCAGCAGCCGCGGUAAGACGUAGGGGGCGAGCGUUGUCCGGAUUUAUUGGGCGUAAAGAGCUCGUAGGCGGUUGCGUAAGUCGGAUGUGAAAACUCAGGGCUCAACCCUGAGACGCCAUCCGAUACUGCGCUGACUAGAAUCCAGUAGGGGAGUGUGGAAUUCCUGGUGUAGCGGUGAAAUGCGCAGAUAUCAGGAGGAACACCCAUGGCGAAGGCAGCACUCUGGGCUGGAAUUGACGCUGAGGAGCGAAAGCAUGGGUAGCGAACAG
rnacentral:rRNA from 1 species